CAGAAAAAAUUAUUUUCAGACAGGUUCACACAUAAAGACGGAACUUAUCUAAAAAAUGUGACAUUUAAUUUAAUUAACUUAUUCCAAACCUCCAUUUUAUAAAAGCCGGCAUUUGAUUGAUUUACUUUCUUACUGCAGGUUGAGUUGUACAGGUGUAAUAGACGGUCGAUGUUCUUUCUUUUGCAAGUUACAUUGGAUUUAGUUAGUGUUUAUUUGGUAACAUUGUUAUGGUUUCUCUGAAAAAGAAAACCAAAUAGAGGAAGUAGAAAAUCCAAGAUGGCCGAAUGUGAUGCCGCCAUGUUCCUGUGUUAAACUGUAAAGUUUUACUUUGGAGAAGGAAAAAAACUGCAUAAAAAUUGGGUGAAAAUUUGUACGUUUGAGUUAUGAAUUGAUUAUUAUGCUAGCUUGCAGUAAGCAUGUAACAAGCAAAUUUGCAAUGUUAGUUUGUUAAUUCUAUGCUUUUUUGUUUCAGUUUUAUGAUGUCAAAGAGAAGGAAAUGGUCAUUGGCAAUUCUUCCAUAAAUCAGCACAAAAAAGAAAUAUAACUCAGGAUUAAGAUUGUUGUUUUGCUGUCUAGCUGGUGAAAAGUAGCUAAACAGCUGGUAAAAGUUAAAAAAACAAAAUCAGAAAUAAUUUAUCACAGUCUAAUUUCUGUCAUCACAGUAAACAUGGCUCUGACACAGCCACUCAGGAAAAUCUGACCCAACACUGCAAGGCAACCAGACUCACCACACUGUUUCUCUAAUCAACUUUAAUUAUUCAGUAGCUAAUUAAACCCUGGGUGGUUUUAGAAAAACCCAUGAAAACGAUUCAGGAGCUGCUGCAUUCAAUGACCGCAGGAAAUUCCAACUUCCCAGACCAGAUAAAGAAAACAGAACCAGAACUCUAUCAAGGUCAGCCAACAUUGAUUUCUUUCUUAAUUAUCUCCCAAAUAUGAAGCCAUUUCUAAGUUAAAAAUGUUUCAUAGAGGGAAAGAUAUGCUUGGAAUGAAAAAUUAAAAAAUCAAUAGCCAGGUGCCAAAACGGUGAGAGACAUGAUGGAAUCGGAGUAAAGCGUUGAUCUGACAGAAACCUGACUGGAGCAGCAGAACCUCCUCUGACGCCGUCAGUCAGGAGUCCCAGUAGAUCGUGGAGCAGCGACUCAAACUCUGCUGCUGAUUCUGGUUUUCCUCUCUCAGAUUUACAGGAGCCAUUAGUCUCUCCAGGAGGGCACAGCGGGUUUAAAGGCAGAGCAAUUAUCUCAGGAUCGCUAAUGGCUGCAGAGUGACGCCAAAUUGUGGAAAGUCCAGUUUCGGUUCUGGAGCUUCAGGUCGCAGACCCCUGAUCUAGACAAUCAACUCAGUAAAUAAAUCCAGCGGAAGCAACAGAGGGUAUACAAGAAAACA